rnacentral:rRNA from 1 species
GAUGAACGCUGGCGGCGUGCCUAAUACAUGCAAGUCGAACGCUUCACUUCGGUGAAGAGUGGCGCACGGGUGAGUAAUACAUAAGUAACCUGGCAUCUACAGGGGGAUAACUGAUGGAAACGUCAGCUAAGACCGCAUAGGUGUAGAGAUCGCAUGAACUCUAUAUGAAAAGUGCUACGGGACUGGUAGAUGAUGGACUUAUGGCGCAUUAGCUUGUUGGUAGGGUAACGGCCUACCAAGGCGACGAUGCGUAGCCGACCUGAGAGGGUGACCGGCCACACUGGGACUGAGACACGGCCCAGACUCCUACGGGAGGCAGCAGUAGGGAAUUUUCGGCAAAGGGGGAAACCCUGACCGAGCAACGCCGCGUGAAGGAAGAAGUAAUUCGUUAUGUAAACUUCUGUCAUAGAGGAAGAACGGUGGAUAUAGGGAAUGAUAUCCAAGUGACGGUACUCUAUAAGAAAGCCACGGCUAACUACGUG